rnacentral:rRNA from 1 species
GUGGGGAAUCUUCCGCAAUGGACGAAAGUCUGACGGAGCGACGCCGCGUGAGUGAUGAAGGCCUUCGGGUCGUAAAGCUCUGUCAUCGGGGACGAACGGCCUCAGCAGGUAAUGGCUGGGGAUUGACGGUACCCGAGAAGGAAGCCACGGCUAACUACGUGCCAGCAGCCGCGGUAAUACGUAGGUGGCAAGCGUUGUCCGGAAUUAUUGGGCGUAAAGCGCGCGCAGGUGGGAUCUUAAGUCCAUUUUGAAAGUUCGGAGCUCAACUCCGUGAUGGGAUGGAAACUGGGAUUCUUGAGUACCGGAGAGGAAAGCGGAAUUCCCCGUGUAGCGGUGAAAUGCGUAGAUAUGGGGAGGAACACCAGUGGCGAAGGCGGCUUUCUGGACGGUGUCUGACACUGAGGCGCGAAAGCCAGGGGAGCGAACGGGAUUAGAUACCCCAGUAGUCC